UUCCCAUUAAAUACAAUACAACACGGAACAUCAAGCAAAGGGUAAGUAUUUUUUACACAUAGAUAUUAGAUAGACAUAGAUAUUUCAUUUUGUUAUCCCAUGUAAACAGUGUAAAUCUGGCAUUGCAUACCCAGAAAGCCAGCUCUACUUUUAGACCUAUUUCCUUUUAAAGUAACCUGUUAUUGUUUGUUUACCCUUGAUCAUUCUAUACAGCAUUUCCAUAUUUUAUUCAUAAUUUCACCUAAAUGAAAUCAAGCAUUCUAAACCAUUAACUGUGAAUUAGAACAAUACUAAUAGGUUCAGAAAUGGUUAAAUAUCUUUGUACAAACUAACAAUUCACCCUUUGUAUUUAAAUGAAGAAAAAUUACUUCAAGAAAACUUUCAGAAACUUCAUCAAGGACAUAUCUUCAACAAUGAUUACCAAUUUAAACAGCUUAAAACAAGGACUUUAGCCACUUGCAAAGGCAAUUACACAUGUACAGAAAUGUUUUAGCCUCAAUCUACUAAUAGUGCAAUAAACAAUGUAUCAACAGACCACACAUUUCGUUUGCCCAUACAAACUACUACGCAGCCAGCAAUCACAUUUACAGUCUUCAAAGUCCAGUAAAGAGAUGUGAGCUUACCGGUAGCCCCUUUGAUCUUUUUCCAUGAGUUUUAAUUCUGUGAUUCUUCAGCGAUUUCUCUUUUCUUUCACUGUUCUUAGCUGCAUUGCAAACCUGAACAACCUUGCUCUGCUUGUAUUGUCUGAAGGUUUCUGACGUGCACUGCUAAUUAGUUUAAUUUCGCUCACCUGCUGAGGUGCACUGCGGAGCCGCGCUCUGUCACAUGCACACGCACUCAGACACACCUCCCAGCAGAUCGCCGCAACAAAGGGGGUAAAGUCAUGUUGAAACUGCAUUGAUUAUUUUGUGCUUCCAUAAGUCUGAAGCAGGCGAUCCUGUGGCCUAGAUAGGUGGGGUCCAUUCUGUUUUUAACUUGGCUAGCUUGUGUAAGAAGGAUAUUAUUAGUUCUACAAAGAGAGAUGUUUUCAUUUACAGUUUUCAUCCCACCUGAGAAAGGGAGACGAAGGUUCAGACGCCCAGCAUUAGCUCAUUUGUGUUUUCAGGUUCAGCUUUUACAGUUCAUUUCAAAACUAAAGGUCUCUUGAGGAAGAGGUGAAAGGGUGAUUGGGCUGCUGUUUCAAAGACAUCAAGGUUAAGCUGUAUCAGAACUUUCACUUAAAACGAGGUGUGAAAGGGCUCACUCCUGAAUCAGCGUCACAUCAACAGUGAAAAAGCUGUUAUGGUUCCGGGAACAAUCCAGAGGCAGCUACAUGUACCAGGUCAGCCCCUCACCUGCCCAGCUAACUCCCAUUAGGACCUUGUCAUGGCAAGUAUAUAAAGGUCCCAGCAGGGAGCUAUGGGCCGUGGGAGAUAAAGAAGUAGGAGAAGAUGCAGCAACUGCAGGGAACACUUUGGAGACGCUACUCCUCAUGCCACAAUACCCUAGUGACGCAGAAUAUUUACGAAGAGGAAGACAGGAUACAGAAGUCCCUCAGGUUUCAAUCGCCUGUACCAGUUCCUCCUAAAUCCCCAUCUUGAGGCCACCCGAAUGAUGAAUCAGCUACCCCAGGAUAGAGGUUUACCCUUUAAUUUCCCCUGUCCUCCUCCACGUCCAUUAAUAAAACGCCAUUCCAGAGCUCUACACACUAUUAUGAGUUGAAUGAAAAAAGAUUUUGGGAUCACAACCUCAAAUAUAUAUAUUUUUUUUAUUAAAUAAUCGAACAACGUCCGUUAUAGAAAUUUGGCACAGGUCCAACAGAGGCUAUGACUCAAGAGCAUCUCCUUGGCAUUGUGGAUCUGAACCAAUGCUACUAGGAUAUGGGACCCGAUUUUAUCAAUCAAGCUCAAGCAUAAAUGGGAGUAAACCAUACAUGGAAUCAUUUUACUCUAGGCAACUUUCCAUUUUAAUCUUGAAAUCUUUGAUUGUUAUUAGAUUACCUUACUCCACUUAGCCAAAUGACUCACAUAAAUCCUGAAAGAGAUAGUUGAGGCUAAGGUUUCAAAGACUGUGAACAAUGCUGAAUGUGCAUACAAAAAUAAGAGGUCUCUAGGAAGUAUACAAACUGACAAAAAACUGUUGAUUACUAUUUCUAGUUUGAGUGAUUUCAAUAUUUAAGAAUUCAGUACAAUAUAUUUUCAAUUACUUAAUAAAGUUGUUUCAUAUUAUUGAUCCUCUUUGUAGCACUGUUCAAGCAAGCCAGAAUGUAGCAUUUUAUUUGGCAUGCACUCACCAUUUUACCACCUGUACAUCUCUUUAAAUCUUAUAAAAUGUGAUUGCUUACUCCUUUUGGUGUUGCUGUUGAAUUUCAUAGCAUGACAUUGAAUAUUCCCCACAGGCUUUAAAGGGAUGGUUUUCACCAUACUGUACUACAGUGCUAUUCAAUUCUGAAACAUUUCUGGCUUUAUCCUCUACUAAUAAUAUUGGGACUGAUUCAGAUCUGAGAGGCCAGGUGAAAGCAGUCAACUAACAGGUAGAACCAAAAACUAGAAAUGUUUCGGCCCUCCAGGACCGAAUUUGAAUAGCCUUGCUGUACUGUAUAUGUUUUAUUCAAGGUGUUUCAGUUCAAAGGUUAUGAAUGAGCACUGAGUCUAAGAACAAUUUGAAUUCCUCAAUGAUAAUCUGCUACUGGUGUUUGAAUUAUGCUUUGAGGAUUAUUUGAUAAGUACAUUUUUAUGCUCACAUUCUAAAUUCAAUUGCAUGUAGUGGUCUCCAUGCAAUAUUGAUAAAUGGGGCUUCCAGUGUGAUGGCCAUGUAUUAAUUACAAUUUCGAAGUGCAGGUACGUGCUUGUGUUCGAAAAUACAUGUAAUUGUUUUUCUCUACAUAAACAAUCCAAGGUGUGAC